AUGAAGUUUGCCUUUGUCUUUCUUCUUUUAUUAGACAUCCCUCAUUUAAAAGGACAGCAGAGGACUGAGGAGUUUGAACACAUUUUGCUGAGAUUCACCUUCCCUUCAUUUUACAAUAGUUAUAACAAGUCGUGCUGCAAACUCUAUCCAGGAGGAUGUUACAAGCUGCUGGACAGUGCCGGGUAUACCUGUGAUUCACUGAAAGGAAGAGUUACAAAAACUGAGAAAGACGGCUGGAUUGAAUUCAAGAUAUCAAAUGUGCAGCUUCUGGAUCGAGGCUACUACAGAUGUAUUGUGUUGGGAACCCCAAACCAGAUCUAUAACGACUACUAUGUAGAGGUCUCAGACGCUUCAAAUCAUAACAGUCAGUUUCAGCCUCCACUGACUACUGCAAUCAAUGUCCCCACUACCUCCAAACCACUCUCAGAGUCCACUGGGCCUGUUCUAGCCCAGGACCACAGUGACAGUCCCAGAGUUCCCUGGACUUUCGGCCUGCUACUGGCCACUAUUGUGUCCCUUACAAUGGUGAUUUUGAUUGCUUCAGUGACUGGGAUUGUUUGCUGCAGAGUGAGGACCAAACGCAAACAGCUGGACAAAUGUGGAGAAACUCUAUGUGAGUCACAGAAGCAAGAGGAUCAAGAAUCGAGCAGCAUAGUUUACACAACAGUGGACUUCAGAAACCAGAAACCAACAGAGGUGUAUGCAAACCUGAGGAUACAAAAAACCAGACCGGGAGACUCUGACUCAACCUGGAGCGCAGGGCAGGCUGGGAUGGUGGAGUACUCCACACUGGCAAUCCACCAGUGAUUCAUGUGAAAGUUUAGUUUCCGAUUUUCACUUGGGAUCCAUUUUAUUAGUUAUGUCUUUAAUGAGAAUUCAAUUUGACAUAUAGAUCACCCCUGCUGCUUUAUUUCAAUGUUUGUCCCUUUUGAGUGCCCAGAAUUUGUGCAAGUGCAUUUCCACUCACUGAACUAUACCCCCUGAUAUGUGUUGUAUAUAGCAGAAAAUCAUUGAAGGCAUUAAAAAAUGAAAUGAUACUGAAAUUAAAGAGAUGAACUCUGUCAUGAUCAUGCACAUACUCUGGUGAAAUUGGUUUCUGUGUGGUAUUCUCGGAACGCUGUGGUUCUGCUCACAGGCGGAGAUAGGAGAAGAGUUGUCAGAACAGGUCAUCAGGUAAUCUUUUCUUAUAUCACUGUUUGUCCUUAUCUGCUUAUUGUAGAUUAAAGCCUCACAGGAACCUGGGCCCUCUGAUAUUCUGAGUCGCUCGAUAUCCUAUUCUCAGCCUGGUGGUCUUUUACAAUGAAAUAAUAUCAAAAAAGGCCAAAAAAAAAAAAAAAAAAAAACAAGAAGCUUGUGGUGUUCCUUCAUAUAUCUAUAAAAGGUCAAUUUUCUCUUAAGAGUGAAUGAAUGAACACACUGAACAUUCUUCCUGUGACAUUUCAGUCCAAC
rnacentral:lncRNA from 1 species